rnacentral:rRNA from 2 species
GAUGAACGCCGGCGGUGUGCCUAAUGCAUGCAAGUCGAACGCGUUGGCCCAAUUGAUUGAUGGUGCUUGCACCUGAUAGAUUUUGGUCGCCAACGAGUGGCGGACGGGUGAGUAACACGUAGGUAACCUGCCCAGAAGCGGGGGACAACAUUUGGAAACAGAUGCUAAUACCGCAUAACAACGUUGUUCGCAUGAACAACGCUUAAAAGAUGGCUUCUCGCUAUCACUUCUGGAUGGACCUGCGGUGCAUUAGCUUGUUGGUGGGGUAAUGGCCUACCAAGGCGAUGAUGCAUAGCCGAGUUGAGAGACUGAUCGGCCACAAUGGGACUGAGACACGGCCCAUACUCCUACGGGAGCAGCAGUAGGGAAUCUUCCACAAUGGGCGCAAGCCUGAUGGAGCAACACCGCGUGAGUGAAGAAGGGUUUCGGCUCGUAAAGCUCUGUUGUUAAAGAAGAACACGUAUGAGAGUAACUGUUCAUACAUUGACGGUAUUUAACCAGAAAGUC